rnacentral:rRNA from 1 species
GAGCUGCUCUGAGUCAGCGCGACGGUGAGUACACGUGGUACUGCUGUAGACUGAUACUCGGAUCGGCUAUACGAUGCUGAUGAUCCGCAUGUCAUAUAAAGUGGCUUUAGCUACACUACAGAUGACCGCGGCGCAUUAGCUAGUUGGUGAGGUAACGGCUCACCAAGGCAACGAUGCGUAGCCGACGUGAGAGGGUGAUCGGCCACACUGGGACUGAGACACGGCCCAGACUCCUACGGGAGGCAGCAGUAGGGAAUCUUCCGCAAUGGACGAAAGUCUGACGGAGCAACGCCGCGUGAGUGAUGAAGGUUUUCGGAUCGUAAAACUCUGUUGUUAGGGAAGAACAAGUACCGUUCGAAUAGGGCGGUACCUUGACGGUACCUAACCAGAAAGCCACGGCUAACUACGUGCCAGCAGCCGCGGUAAUACGUAGGUGGCAAGCGUUGUCCGGAAUUAUUGGGCGUAAAGCGCGCGCAGGCGGUUUCUUAAGUCUGAUGUGAAAGCCCCCGGCUCAACCGGGGAGGGUCAUUGGAAACUGGGGAACUUGAGUGCAGAAGAGGAGAGUGGAAUUCCACGUGUAGCGGUGAAAUGCGUAGAGAUGUGGAGGAACACCAGUGGCGAAGGCGACUCUCUGGUCUGUAACUGACGCUGAGGCGCGAAAGCGUGGGGAGCGAACAGGAUUAGAUACCCUGGUAGUCCACGCCGU